rnacentral:rRNA from 1 species
UACGGGGGGGGCAAGCGUUGUUCGGAAUUACUGGGCGUAAAGGGCUCGUAGGUGGCGCUGUAAGUCGGGUGUGAAAUCCUGAGGCUUAACCUCGGAACUGCAUUCGAUACUGCGGCGCUUGAGGACUGGAGAGGAGACUGGAAUUCAUAGUGUAGCAGUGAAAUGCGUAGAGAUCAUGAGGAAGACCAGUGGCGAAGGCGGGUCUCUGGACAGUUCCUGACACUGAGGCACGAAGGCCAGGGGAGCAAACGGG